rnacentral:misc_RNA from 1 species
CCGGCGCCGUUGGUACGGCUUUCUUCUGCUAGGCGCCCACUGGCUUCGUUUGUUGUCUUAUCCGCAUCCGCUGCAGCCAUGCUCAAGGGGAUCAAAAAAAGUUUUAGCCACAUGGAUCCCCGGCAAAUUCGCAAGCGUAGCAGCAAGGCAGCGAGCGCGGUAGCCAGCGAGGAGUCCGGGGACGGCAAUGCGACGCCGGAAAUGUCUGUGACGCAUGCAGGCAUGUCGGUGGCGCUACCAGAGGGGAUGGUCGUAGGGCCCAAGUCGGUGCCGGCGCCCGGAGGUCCAAUGCCGCCAGGGAUGCCCGUUAAGGGGGUCCUGCCACCCGGCGCCAAGAUCGUGAAGGGCCCACCGCCGAAUGCCGUCAUAAAAGUCAUGACGGGCACCGAAGGAUCGCCCAGCUUUUCUCGGCCCAGCUCCAUCUCCCCAACUCCUGGUGGGAGUCAGUCACCAACCCCCGGAAUGAAGAUGAUGGGGCAGCCACCGCCAGGCGCUAAGAUCAUUGUCGGUUCGCCACCACCAGGCGCGAAAACUAUGCUCGGCGCGCCGCCUCCGGGAUUCAAGAUCAUGUACAGCUCUCCACCACCAGGCACAAUGCACGUGGUGUCGCCGCCGCUGAGCAGCACGCCGCCAUCGCUGUCGCAUGAUAACGCGCCUCCGCUCCCACUGGGGAUGGCUGCGAAGACCCCAAUGAAGAUGCUGCCGCCAGGAGCGAAGCUGAUUAGUGGACAACCGCCUCCAGGAUCGCGGCCAGUGUCGCCAGAGGAGGCGAGACACUCAGCGACGAGCCCUUCUCUGAUCCCGUCUCGCUCGGUGUCGCCCACAAACGCGUCUGUGUUCCGCAUUCUGCCAAACGGUGUAAAGGUGCUUGUGAGUCCGCCCACCGUUGGAGGGCCCGUCCAUCCCGUGAGCAAGGCGCUACCUGGCCACCUUAGUCCAUCGCUGCCAGCGAAAUCUCCGCCAAGCACGCUGAUCAAGUCAAUGGGAGACUUGAACCUGGGAGGGACACCGACAGCUCCGACGUUGCGCACCACGGCGCCACUGAUCCCUCCGCAGAACGCGAACGUUUCUGUCGGACCCAAGUCCCUUCCAGGGCCGCAACAGCAGCUCCCAAAGCCGAUGCCGGUGCGACCGGGUGGCACCAUCGUGAAGGCAGUCGAGGCUCCCUAUCGCACGCCUCCCGGGCGCAACCAGCAGACAUCGGCUGCCAAGCUACACCAAGGCGAUGUGCAAGUCAAGAUGCACAAGUCGGAAAGCGACGAGUUCACCUUCCAGGAGGAGGACAACUUAGACGACUCCGCCGACAUCCAGUUUGAGGAGGCGCCAUCGGUGAUGCCACCAGAAUCGCCGCGGGCUGGCGCGGCGGUAGCGGAGCUGCGCCGCAUCUCCUCGUCGGGCUCCUCGUCCUCGUCGCUGUCCCUCCGCGAAGACCCCGACGAGGCCACGGCGCUCCCAACGGUGAUGAAGCCGCACAGCAGCACUGCGCCAACAGCGAUAGCGUCGCCGUGCUCCCCAUCGUCUGCCGUAGGUACAGUUGCACCUGUCGAGUACGAGAAGAGCGUGCACAGGCACCAGUCACAGGAUGAGGGUAGCAAAGGGGCAAGGAAAAAGAAGCACAAGGGCCGUCGCGCGUCGCCGCGGGACGACAAGCUGGACGACGGCAAGUCGUCGCGCAAGCAGAGACGCAAACAUCGUCAUCACCACCGGCCGCACUCCAGCGAUGUGGGCAACAUGUCCAGGAGCUCGGCUUCGCUGCAGUCCUAUUCCGUUCCCGGUGCUCCAGUGAGCGCCUCGCCUGCAGCGGUGGACGACACGCAACGCCGCACGCCAUCGCAGCGGGCGGCAGCGGACGGUAAAGACGACGUCGUAGACAUCCCAGGGGAGCUAGGCGGCGAACAGCUGAGAGAACUCGCCUUUACGCCGGAGGCGCUCACUUCUGCCUCACGCGGCCGAAUCGCAGAGGACUUCCUGUCGAUCCUCUGCCCUCAGCAGUAUUACGGCAAGGUGCAGAAGAUCAGUCGUAUCCGAGCAUUCAAGGCAGACCGCUCUGCCGCUACCGGCCUGCGCAGCAGCAGCUCCAUCUACGUCGCGACAAAAGGUGUGAUGCCGAACCCGUACUUUUACCCUCAGCUGCGGCUGCGCAACAGCGAUGGCGAAAAGCUUGGCAGCCUCGCGAGUGCCGACGAAGUGGCCGAGGGUGUCGUGAACACGCCAAUAAUUCUCUACGAAGCCGCUCCUGGCAACAUGCUGUUCGCCGACACCGAGCUCGAGGCACGGCGCUUGCUCGAGAGUAACCGGAACUUUAACAGCUGCUUCAUGCUCAGCAACUCAGCCAUUCUCUUUAGAGACCCAGAACACUACGUGGUGCCCGUCGCUUCGCUAAAUGUGCAGUGGGUGCCGUACGCCUCACCGCAGUCUGAGCCGCAGUGCCCUGUCCAUAGGCGCGAGUUGCAGCUUUUCGACCCGUGCUCGAAGGAGCUUGUCUGCGCCCUGUGCGCGUCGCGCAACGGCAUUCCCAUGUCGAACUUCGUCGUCAUCCCCGACGUGCUCGGCAACGCUGACUCGCGCCGCACAAUCGAGGAAAAGGUGUCCGUCCAGCUGGAUGAGGCGCAGCAAUCGGCGAAGCGGUGGGUGGAGCAGCACCAGCGGGUGCGCGAGCUGUGCGAAGGCAAAAAGGACGCCAUCCGCAACCAGUUCAACCUCCUCAUCAACGCCCUCGAGGCGAAGAAGAAGGAGUACAUUGAGGCGUGUGAGGCGGAGUUUGCCUACGCGCAGACGGACGUCGCCCGCGAAAUCCUCAUCACAGAUGAGAAGGUGCAGCUGCUGCGCGCCGCCACGGACCACCUCCGCACCGAUCCGUCGAAGCCGCUUUUCUCCAUGCAAAUCGCAACCAUCGCCGAGGGCUUGAGCGCCUCCACGGACCUGCCUUCGCGCUUCACGCGUGCCUCGCUGCGGUUGCCCCCGAUGAGCGCCGGUCUCAUGCCGAACUUAGAGGGCGUCAUGUCGCAAGUGCUGGAGCUCAGUCCGCAGCUGUCCCCCUCGGGAGCCAGAGGCGGGGAAUAUCGUACGGAGGACCUGUCUCUGUCCAACGCGCCGUACAAACGGCCGAACUGGAAUCUUCACAACGAUGGCCGGCCCGUGGAGGAGGCCGUGAACGUUGCACACAGAGAUCGCUGGCGUUUCAGCGGUACGGGUGCCAAUGCUGCCGCCGCUUCCCUUGCCAAGCCGUCGCGCCCUGCAGGCCGAAGCGCGAAUGCGUCGCCGCUGCAUAGCAAUGGCCGUUCCGCCUGUUGUAGCUCCCCUGCCCGACCUGCUCUUUCUGGGCCAGUGGCGACGCGAGAGUACGUGAGAAGCAUGUCUAGCUCUUCCCACAAGCGAUCUGCCGCGGGGUCAGCUUCAUCGGCGCAGUUUGCCGCGGAUGCGGUGUCUGUGCCGAACAGCACCGGCACCUCCCUCUUCGAUUUCGCCCUUCACCACCUACUAAGCACCUUGGGCACGUCGAAUGUGAAACGGCGGUCACCGCGCUACGUGCAGUGGGCCAUCCGCAUCGAUGAUCCGGGCGACUGGGUCGGUCUCGGCGUCGGUGUUGGCAACACGAUUGAGGCGUGGGAGCAAGGCAGCACAAAUGACCUCUCUCACUUGUGGAUUGUACCGGCGUCCAUGACGGGCCAGGUACUGUACCUACGCGUCGCAGUGAGCUCCAGCAGCGGACACGCGAAGCUGACGGUACACGAUGUGCGUGGAAAGCAGGUAGACGCUGGUGAGGUGCCGCAGUGGAACGCAGCCCGUCCGUCCUACCCGCAGGCCACGUUUGGUGGGCAUAUCGGAUCUGUUCGGAUGAUCGAGAUCCCUCACGUUGUGCACUGAGUCAGCGGUCGCAAGACCUUCGAAAGCGUACGUAUAGGUUCACGUUCGUGGGUCUACGUGUUCGUGCGGGCACUCCUUGCGUUCGCAUCUGCUCGUCUCUCCUGCUGAGUGGCAUGUCCCGACGAGGAGAGAAGAUCCCUGUCAGGGACGUCCACUUCACCUGUCACAACCCGCCUCAUUCUCCAUUGGGGUUUUCCCCUUCGGUGGUUGUGUGCUUGAUUCUCGUGGCUCGCGUGGUGUGUGCGAUUGGCUGCCUUUAUAGAGAUCUGUGUGUAUGUACAGAUGUACAUGGGCUGUUCUUGUGGCUGUCGUUGUUCCGGAAAGUUUAGAGUGUUUUGUUCUAUAGCCCUCCUUGUGUUUUCUGUGUUGGGCGUGCCUUGGUGCCGGCAUCUUCACCGCUGUUGUCUUUGUCGCGUUCUCUUUUCCCGUUGUAGCGGUUGCCGUUGCUUCUUCGCCUAAAGCUUGUGCUUCACUGUCGUCUCGCCGAGCAGUCCGUGUCUCUCGCUCUUGUGUCGCCUCUUCUGCACCUAUUCACUCACGCACACACACACACACACACGCACGCCCCCACACACGUGAACCGCUUUUGUCUUUCAAUUUGUUUUUUUUUUCCUUUCUCAUGGCGUCUCAGCUGUGCCGUCAGCCCUGUGCACGUGUGUGCACGAGGGGAAUUUCGUUGCAUUUCUUGUGAAGGAUGCCACAUUAGAUCUCGGGACGAUUCUGGCUCGUGGCGCCACAUUUUUUGUGUCUCUGUGGCCUCUUCACUGUUCACUGGCUUCUCCACCAGCAGCACCCUCUACUUUUUUUUCUCGUUUCCGUUAUUGCGUUGGUAUGUGCAUGUCUCUAUUUAUCUAGGCGUGUGACAUGGCUCUCUCGAUCAUUCUCCAUACCGCUUUCUUGCACUUGGCCGCCGCCCCACACACGUAUAUCAUCCAUGAACGUGUUCGGGUAUCGCACGCCCUUGCCGCUCUCUGUGUCGUAGCCGUUGCCGGGUGUGCAGGUGCACGUGGGAGCGUUUUCGUUUUGUUUGG